AGGUGCUGCACGGCUGUCGUCAGCUCGUGUCGUGAGAUGUUGGGUUAAGUCCCGCAACGAACGCAACCCUCGUGUUUAGUUACUAACAGUUCGGCUGAGGACUCUAAACAGACUGCCUGGGUAACCAGGAGGAAGGUGAGGACGACGUCAAGUCAUCAUGGCCCUUACGGCCAGGGCUACACACGUGCUACAAUGGGGUAUACAAAGAGCUGCAAUACGGUGACGUGGAGCAAAUCUCAUAAAAUAUCUCCCAGUUCGGAUUGAAGUCUGCAACUCGACUUCAUGAAGUUGGAAUCGCUAGUAAUCGUAGAUCAGCAAUGCUACGGUGAAUACGUUCCCGGGUCUUGUACUCACCGCCCGUCACACCAUGGGAAUUGAAUUCAUUCGAAGCGGGGAUGCUAAAAUAGCUACCUUCCACAGUGGAUUUAGUAACUAGGGUGAAGUCGUAACAAGGUA
rnacentral:rRNA from 1 species